rnacentral:rRNA from 1 species
GACGAACGCUGGCGGCGUGCUUAACACAUGCAAGUCGUACGGUAAGGCCCUUUCUGGGGUACACGAGUGGCGAACGGGUGAGUAACACGUGAGUAACCUGCCCACUACUUUGGGAUAACGCUAGGAAACUGGUGCUAAUACUGGAUAUGUACUCCUGCUGCAUGGUGGGGGUUGGAAAGCUCCGGCGGUUGUGGAUGUACUCGCGGCCUAUCAGCUUGUUGGUGGGGUAGUGGCCUACCAAGGCGGCGACGGGUAGCCGGCCUGAGAGGGUGACCGGCCACAUUGGGACUGAGAUACGGCCCAGACUCCGACGGGAGGCAGCAGGGGGGAAUAUUGCACAAUGGGCGCAAGCCUGAUGCAGCAACGCCGCGGGCGGGAGGACGGCCUUCGGGUUGGAAACCGCUUUCAGCAGGGACGAAGCUUUUUGUGACGGUACCUGCAGAAGAAGCACCGGCUAACUACGUG